rnacentral:lncRNA from 1 species
UGGCUUCCAACAAAUUCUCUGCCUUGAUUUUAGUGCUUUCUCUUCUUGCCUACUCAACAUUCACUGAAGCUAAUUGUCCACCAUCACCAAAGCCAACACCUUCACCUACUCCUGUUCCACCUUCACCCAAAGGUCAAUGCCCUAAGGAUACCUUAAAGCUAGGGGUUUGUGCUGAUCUUUUAGGGUUGGUUAAUGUUGUUAUUGGAAAUCCUCCUUCAGGUAGUAAAUGUUGUGCAUUGAUUAAGGGUUUGGCUGAUUUGGAGGCUGCACUUUGUCUUUGCACUGCACUUAAGGCUAACGUGCUUGGGAUCAACCUGAAUGUGCCUAUCACUCUCAGCUUGCUCCUUAGUGCAUGUCAAAAAACCGUCCCUCCUGGUUUCCAAUGUCCCUAAGGAUUCCAAUUAGGUUGUGUCUCAUUGUUGAAUAAGUAUGUAUGUGCACUAAUAGUUGUUUCUAUACGAGGCAAAUCGUUAACAACACACUUUCUAAUACUUUCUCUGUAACAUUUUUUAUGUUAUUGGUUGAAAUUCAUGAGUUACAUUCACAUUGAAAAUUACAUGACACGUCUAAAUUAAUAAAACAUGCAUGAAUUUCAACCAAUAAAACAAAGUUUUGCAAAGAAAUGAAAGAGUGUGUUGUUAACACGUCCAUUGUCAUUGUCAUUGUCAUUGUCAUUGUUUUAUGUAGUUUGUUAAUGUGUAGUCUGUCCAAACAUUCAUCUGUGUAGAUUUCUUAACGUGUUUUGGUCAAAUUAAUAAUUUGGCAAGCUUGUAUUCAUUAAUAUAUUGUGAAAUACUAUGUUUGUUUGUCAAGUCCAAAUGUUACGUGCGUUGAGGAGCACAAUAAUUUAUAAAUACAAUUUCAUGAUCGCUAUAUGUUCUACUAGAGCUUCAUGUUUUACUAAUUGGCUUAGAAGAAAAUAUUUUAAUACUUAGAAUUUUCAUUUGUAAACUCUAGGCAGUUAAAAUUGUAUCCAAAAAAAGCAAAAAUUCUGAGCAUUUCAACUAAAAUAAUAGAAAGGUCAUUCUUUUAAAGGCGAAGUGUUUGCAACUUAAAGAAUAAUGUCACUUUGUAAAUCAAGCAACGAGUUUCCCAUAUGAAACUUAAGGGUAUGUAAUAUAUGUUUAGGUUGAUGGUAUAAGGUGGAAUAAAGUGUAAUAAAACUGAUCUCCAUAACAUUUAUUUCUAGGUUUUUUCUAGAUUACCUUUGAAGAAUGGUGGGUAAUUUACCCACCAACCAAUAAAAAUGAGCAAUUUGUUGGUGGGGUCAAGAUAGUUCAUGGAUACCACUUAAAAAUGUGCUUAUGUGGCUAAUGUGUAUUGGUUGGGGUAAAUUACUCAUCAUUCUUCCAUGGGUACCCUAGUUGUCACCUUAUUUCUAAAAUCUAGGCAACUUAUUUCAUUCAGCUCUAUUUCACCAAUUUAAGCAUACCAUAGAGGAAGCCGCAAUCAAUCAAUCAGUCAAACACUAACCGCGUGAUUUGGCUUCACCAUGACAAAAAAUAAUUUUUAACUAAUAGAUUUUGUUAUAUUGAUUUUGGUUAAAAGUUAGUUGAAAGUGAACUAAAUUAUGUUUGGAUAUAUCUACCUAAAGUGAGUUGAGCGGUAAAUUUAAAUAUAAAAAACAUUUGGAGUUCAAAGCUACAAAUUUUAGUGUUAAAUAAGAAUAAAUUUUGAAAGAAAUCUCAAUUCAAAUCGAUAUCAAUAUUCAAAUAUGUCAAAAUCAAUUUUAAAUGUCUGAAAUCCUUAUAUUCCCCGAAACCAAAAAACACCCUAGAUGCAUGUUUGUUUCCAAUGAAAAUGGCCAUGGAAAGCGUGAAUGGCAAGCUAAACCAAAUUCAAAACAUACAAAAUCAUGCAAUUUUCCGCAUGAGAAAAAAAUAUGGGACAUCAAUUUCUAUGGGUGACUUUUUUGAGUGUCGUGCGUGUCCUACAAACAUGUUCUUUUACAACUGACUUAAGAGAUUUUAACUAUGUUAUCUAAAGUUACAGUGUUAAAUUCUUCACACUCAUUUCAUGUAGAUAAAAUGGUGGGUGGGAGAGAGAGAUAAUAACAAAUGAAAAAAAGGCACAUAAUCAUCCAAAAUAUUACAACUCAUUUUUUCAUAAGCUUACAAAAGUACCAACUGGAAACGUUAUCACAAAUUCACUCACUUCCACUCAAUUAGAUUUCUAGGGUGCACCUUCCAAUUUUUGUUGCCUUUAAAAUAGGUUCACUCAUUCAACUCUCAAUCAACACAAAUAUUGCUACAUUUAAUUUGUAAAGUAAACUAUAGUCAUGGCUUCCAACACCAAAUUAUUCUCAGCCACCAUUUUAGUACUUUCUCUCCUUGCUUACUCAACAUUUACUGAGGCUAAGGGUUCAUGCUCACCAUCACCAAAGCCAAAGCCAAAACCUUCACCCCAAGGUCACUGCCCCAAAGAUACCUUAAAGUUAGGGGUUUGUGCUGAUGUUUUAGGACUGGUUAAUGUUGUUGUUGGAAAUCCUGCUUCAGGUAGUAAUUGUUGUGCAAUAAUCAAAGGUUUGGCUGAUUUGGAUGCUGCACUUUGUCUUUGCACUGCAAUUAAGGCCAAUGUGCUUGGAAUAAACUUGAACGUACCUCUCACCCUCACCUGGAUCCUUGGUGCUUGUCAAAAAACAAUCCCUCCUGGUUUUCAAUGUGCCUAAGGAUUCAAAUUAGGUUGUAUCUCAUUGUUUCCUAAGUAUGUACGUGCACUAUAAGUGUGUGGUUAUGUAUUAUUUCUCUUUGGUAAUUGUUGUUAACACUAUUUAACACUUUCUUUGUAACAUAUUCUUUAUUAUUGGUUGAAAUUUAUGGGAUACACCGUCACUCACUAUGUUAUAACUUAUAACUCAUGUGAAUUUCAACCAAUAAAAAAUAGCAUUGAAAAAGAAGUGUUAAGACUGUGUUAAUAAUAUUUUUUUAUUUUGUAAACUAAUCCAUUUUAUUUUAUUAUUGUAUUUUGUGUAAUUGUUAAGAUGUGGUUUGUUCAAAUAUUUAUUUGUGUGGAUUUCUCACAUUGUUUGGCUAAAUCAGCUCAUUUUUUGUGCUUGUAUUUUCGUCACGAAUUCUAGUAUUCUUGCUCAUUUUCCAUGAGGUUAUGUGGGCUGAGCAGUGCAACAUUUUUAAAUUUAUAAAUCCAAUUUCUCAUGAACUUGGAUACUUACAAAGCAAUGUUUUUUAGCUGAUCG